UGGUGGCGACCGGCGCACGGGUGCGUAACGCGUAUGCAACCUACCUUUAACAGGGGGAUAACACUGAGAAAUUGGUACUAAUACCCCAUAACAUCAGGACCGGCAUCGGUUCUGGUUGAAAACUCCGGUGGUUAUGGAUGGGCAUGCGUUGUAUUAGCUGGUUGGUGAGGUAACGGCUCACCAAGGCAACGAUACAUAGGGGGACUGAGAGGUUAACCCCCCACAUUGGUACUGAGACACGGACCAA
rnacentral:rRNA from 1 species